rnacentral:rRNA from 1 species
AGAGUUUGAUCAUGGCUCAGAUUGAACGCUGGCGGCAUGCCUUACACAUGCAAGUCGAACGGCAGCACGGGAGCAAUCCUGGUGGCGAGUGGCGAACGGGUGAGUAAUACAUCGGAACGUGCCCAGUAGUGGGGGAUAACUAGUCGAAAGAUUAGCUAAUACCGCAUACGACCUAUGGGUGAAAGCGGGGGACCUUUACCGGCCUCGCGCUAUUGGAGCGGCCGAUGUCUGAUUAGCUAGUUGGCGGGGUAAAAGCCCACCAAGGCAACGAUCAGUAGCUGGUCUGAGAGGACGACCAGCCACACUGGGACUGAGACACGGCCCAGACUCCUACGGGAGGCAGCAGUGGGGAAUUUUGGACAAUGGGCGAAAGCCUGAUCCAGCCAUGCCGCGUGCGGGAAGAAGGCCUUCGGGUUGUAAACCGCUUUUGGCAGGAACGAAACGGUGCGAGCCAACACCUCGCGCUAAUGACGGUACCUGCAGAAUAAGCACCGGCUAACUACGUGCCAGCCGCCGCGGUAAUAC